UCCUCAGAUGGUGGACAUUCUUUUCCAUCAUGGGUUAUUGCUGUGAUUGUUAUAGUUAUCAUCAUCUUGGUCGUCAUAUUCUUCAUCUAUCGAAAGAAACGCGCUCAGAGACGCCCUACUGACAAAGAGGCUGCAAAACAUGGCGAGGAUGUAGCGCUCUCGUAAGCACCGCAGUCCUGUUGGUCCAACACUUCUGAUGGUGAAGGCGUCAUCUUGAGAGGAGGAUUGUCUCUGGACCGGUCUGUUGAUGGACGUGCUUCCAAAGAGCCUCUGUGGAAAUCUGCUUCUUCAGGGCUGCAGUCUGUGAUUCAGACACUUUUCAAUUUAUUCUCGCUUCAUCUGUUAAAUCUCUCUCAUUCUACAGCUUUUACUCAUAUCCACUGUUUCCAGUUUGAAUUGUCUGGACAUUAUUGAACUCUGCAUUUAUUUGGGAUGUUUGAAUUUAAGCAGAGCUCAGCCUGGAUGCCAGGCCUAAAUAAAAUAGAACAUCUUAAAGUGUUUUAGGGAAAAUCUGUUCGUUCAAUACGUACUUAACUCACAAACAUCAUGUCUGCGCAGAAAGUUUUGGCCUAAUUGAGAAAUUGAUAUUCCACCUGUAGUGUAGCGAGGUUGUAGGGAGCUUUUCAAGAAGAAAGAAAAAAAGACCUAUGGGAUAAAGCCACUCAGUCUUAAUGUUCAUUAUUUAAAUACCAAACCAUAGUUUUAUCUAAAAUGGUUAUAAAGUUAGUGCCUAAUAAAAACCAUGCCAUAUGGUAUGAGCCUGAAUGUAUAAAAGCUGAAUACUUUACUUUAUGUGUGUUUAUUUUUGUAGUUUGUAUAACCAGCAGCUUGGUGUUUGUGUUUUUUAAUGUAUUAACUUUGUGACCUUAUUUUUAUUGUUUCGGGAUAUUGGCCAACUAUGUUGCAGAUAUUGUUACCAUUUUUCCAAUCAGUAAAGUUUUUUUCUCUCUCUCUUUCACUGCACCACCGUUAACAUCCUGGUUAGCCACAUACUGUCUAGAAGAUGAAUUGUUUUAAUAUUAAGACUUCAGCACUGAUUUUGGUCACAUUGAAAACUAUUUAUGAAGAUGAUCUCAAAGAAGUUUGAACUUCCUAUUUAUUAAAAUGUUUCAUUUUUUUUGUGAAGGCAGUUGUGAAACUAGUUUUUCUUCCUGGAAUUAAAGGAAAAAGGAAAAGUAAGAAGUG